UACGGAGGGUGCGAGCGUUAAUCGGAAUUACUGGGCGUAAAGCGCACGCAGGCGGUUUGUUAAGCUAGAUGUGAAAGCCCCGGCUCACUGGAAUAGGCAUUUAGAACUGGCAGACUAGAGUCUUGGAGAGGGGAGUGGAAUUUCUGGUGUAGCGGUGAAAUGCGUAGAUAUCAGAAGGAACAUCAGUGGCGAAGGCGACU
rnacentral:rRNA from 1 species